AUGAGAAUGAGACGAUAAGUGGAGAAGAAAACGCAUUGAAGUUACGAAUGUGAGGAUGAAGCAUGGACACGUGAAAUGAAGAAGCCAAGAAGGGUACGUUGUAUGUAUGCUGAUUGCUGGCAACUGCAGUAUUUAAUGCUCUCAUGUCUUUAUUUCAAUUUUCAACUGAAUGGACGUUCGGUUCAUAGAUUUGGGUGAUUUAGAUAAUGCACACCACAACCUUUCAAAAUGAUAAAGGAUAGUAGGCUACAUUGGAAAAACUUGAUGUUUGGCUAAUGUUUGUUUUAAUUUGGGUAUAUCUUUUAUUAAUUAUAAAAAAGUUUAAUCUUUUAUAUAUAUUAUUUUAUAUCAUUGUAUAUAUUUUUGAUACCUUAUUGUUGAACGUCAUUUUUUUAUAGCACUCACAUAAUAUUUGUUCGUUUCUUUUAUUUUACGACUAUAAAUGUAAAAGAUUUAUCGGCUUUUAUAUUUCCAGAAAUAUGACAUGUUUUAAAAUAUGAUAAAUUAUAUAAGAGGAUUUAUAAAACAUUUAAGAUAGAUAAAUGAUAAAUUAAUUAAUUUAAAAAUAAUUUUUUUCAAAAGGUUGAUCUUUUGAAAAUGUUUUAUUGAAUAAAAGUUAAUGGAAAACUAAUGUGCCUAAAGGUAAUAUAAGUUUUUGAUCGCUUAACUAUGGAAAUCCAAAAAUUGGCGACAGCAUGAGUUUGAGAAGGUAUUAAAUUGUGUCAAGAGUUUUGGCUUUUGAUUUUGAACUUUUGAAAAAAAAAUAAUAAUAACAAAGAAAAAGAAAUCUUAAGAAAAGACAUUCUGACAAGUGGCGAUGAUUCAUCGAAACUAGUACAUGAACUUCCACCUCAAUAAUCAUUCAGGAUUCGAUAAUUUUGAUACAUAAGUGUUUAAGCUAUUGGUUCAUUGGAACGAAUGUUUGAGUAAUACAAGCGUUCUCAAGACAUGUUUGAUGUUUUAUUGACAUCGAACAUGCAAUUAAAGAAUACAACACAUGGAUCCUAUCUUGAGAAUGAGAUAUAUCCAAGUUGGACGGCAUUUAUGAAAUCAUUUUUCUGCAUCAUUACUGAUAAAAAGAAAAUGUUCAAGGCGGUACAAGAAUCAACGAUCAAGGACAUCCGAAGUGCUUUUGGGGUCCUCAAAUCAUAUUGGAGCAUAAUACAAUAUUUGGCACGGUCAAUGUCAUCGAACAAAACAUGGGAUAUAAAGUAUACUUACAUUAUAUUACACAAUAUGAUAUUGUAAGAUGAUGGUGUUGCGAUAUCUCCAAUUCGAAGAAGUGGACCCAAAAAUACUCCAUGAGUUGUGUAAUUUUCAUUCGUUUAACUUUUUUGUGAUUAUAUUGAGCAAUUCUACAUACUAUCUUUGGAUAACUA
rnacentral:lncRNA from 1 species